rnacentral:lncRNA from 1 species
CAGACUGGAUACAUUACAUCAUAGUGGAGGCCUACAGACUGGAGACAUUACAUAAUAGUGGAGGCCUACAGACUGGAGACAUUACAACAUAGUGGAGACCUACAGACUGGAGUCAUGACAACAUAGUGGAGGCCUGCAGACUGGGGAUAUGACAACAUAGUGGAGGCCUGCAGACUGGAGACAUUAUUACAUAGUGGAGGCCUGAAGACUGGGGAUAUGACAACAUAUUGUAGGCCUACAGACUGGAGACAUUACAUCAUAGUGGAGGACUACGGACUGGGGACAUGACAUUAUAGUGGAGGACUACGGACUGGGGACAUGACAUUAUUGUGGAAAACUACAGACAUAGCAACAUAGUUGAGGCCUACAGACUGGAGACAUUACAUCAUAGUGGAGGCCUACAGACUGGAGACAUUACAUCAUAGUGGAGGCCUACAGACUGGAGACAUUACAUCAUAGUGGAGGCCUACAGACUGGAGACAUUAUAUCAUAGUGGAGGCCUACAGACUGGAGACAUUACAUCAUAGUGGAGGCCUACAGACUGGGGACAUGACAUUAUAGUAGAAGACUACAGACAUGGCAACAUAGUGGAGGCCUACAGACUGGAGACAUUACAAAAUAGUGAAGACUAACAGACUGGAGACAGGACAACAUAGUGAAGGCCUACAGACUGGAGACAUGACAACAUAGUGGAGGCCUACAGACUGGAGACAUGACAUCAUAGCGGAGGCCUACAGACUGGAGACAUGACAUCAUAGUGGAGGACUACAGACUGGAGACAUGACAACAUAGUGGAGGCCUACAGACUGGAGACAUGACAACAUAGUGGAGGCCUACAGACUGGAGACAUGACAACAUAGUGGAGGCCUACAGACUGGAGUCAUGACAACAUAGGGGGGGCCUACAGACUGGAGACAUGACAACAUAGUGGAAGCUAACAG